GCCAGAUGCGGUGGUGCACGCCUAUAGUCCCAGCUAUCCAGGAGGCUGAGGUGGGAGCACUGCUCAGCCCAGGAGUUCUUGGCUAUAAUAUGCAUGCCAGUCAGGUGUCUGCACUAUGUUUGGCAUCAGUAUAGUGACCUCCUGGGAGCGUGGGACCACCAGGUUGCCUAAGGAGGGGUGAACUGUCCCAGGCUGGAAAUGAAGCAGGUAAAAACUCCUGUGCUAGUUAGCAGUGGGAUUGUGCCUGUGAAUAGUCACUGCACUCCAGCCUGGGCAACAUAGUGAGACCCCAUCUCU
rnacentral:SRP_RNA from 1 species